rnacentral:rRNA from 1 species
UACAGAGGCCUCGAGCGUUAAUCGGAAUCACUGGGCUUAAAGCGUGUGUAGGUGGAUCGUUAAGUACCUUGUGAAAUCCCCGGGCUUAACCUGGGAACUGCAUUUGUGACUGCAUGGCUAGAGUGCGGCAGAGGGGGAUGGAAUUCCGCGUGUAGCAGUGAAAUGCGUAGAUAUGCGGAGGAACACCGAUGGCGAAGGCAAUCCCCUGGGCCUGCACUGACGCUCAUGCACGAAAGCGUGGGGAGCAAACAGG